AAACAACAAACCGGGUCGGUCCCUCCUUUUGAAUUUGAAAGAAUAAAAAAGUAAAACAAUUGAAAAACUGAAUGAAAUUGUAUUAGCAAAUUAAUAAAAAAUAAAUUAUUCCCUCCGACGAAACAACGGUGUGCUCGUCCAAUCAUUCGUGUGUGAGUGUGUUCACAGUUAAUCGAUAAAAGGAAUAGUUCUUAAGUGUUUGGUGUCUUCGUGUUGGUGUCUCCUUCUAUAAUUUGUUCUUUUUUUGCGUGGAUAACGAAGGAAUACUUGAAUAGAGAAAAUAUUUGUCAUCAAAGAAAGGAAACGGGAAAUCGGAAAAUGUGGCACAGUGAUUGGAGUGGUAACAGUGGCUAGUGGUAAUCCUAAUAUUCUGCACAAUUCAUUUUAUUUGGAUUUCAACAUUGUGAUAUAUGAGUGAAUGUAGAAAAAAAAGUGCAAUCUUAUGCAAAAAUUGUCAAAUUGUCCCAAAAGAACGUCGUCGAGAGAACGUUGGUUGAAUAAACCUGAAAACAAACACAACAAGCAUUCACAGCGGCAGCAACAACACCAAAAAGCAAGUACCAACAAGAAUACAUACAAACAUACAUACCUACCUACUAAGUACAUACAUUCGUACAUGCAAUCAAAGUGCAAACAAUGAAAAAACAAAAUGCACAGAAAUACAGUACGACGAACGGACGGGCGAAAUUUCUUUCUUUGCUUUGCUAGUGCAGUGUAUUUCCAUGACUGACUGACUUGCUGAAUGGAUGGAUGCAUGUGCAAUGUACAAUGAGCUGAAGGAGGAGUAGAAAGAUGAAGAAAUAUGGAAUAUGGGUUGGAUGGAAAAUUGUAUACACUUUUCAGUCUCUGUUUUUUUUUUGUAGUAGUUUAGUUUCCCACUACUAACUUACAGCUUGCUGGUUAGCUGGUGGCUGGCUGGCUGACUGGGUUGCUCUUGGAGUACAUAGUGAGUGUGACUGACGGCUGACAUCGUUGGUGCAACCGCUAUUGGCCUGGCUGGUUAGAAAGAUUCGUCGUUGAUUAUGAUGCGGUUGCAAAAUGAAAACUAUGAUGUUGUUGUGAAAAUUAACUGUGAAAUUGUUGUGGAAACCCCAAUAAAAACAACAACAACACCAAAUGCAUCUAUUGUUGCAUGGACCAUCAUCAUUAUCACAACUACACUAAUAGAUGAAUGCAGCAAAAAAAAAAAAAAACAAAAUGUAAGCAACAUUAAAUCCAAGGGGAAAAGGAAUUGGCAUUGCAAUACAAAUUGAGUUCAGAACCAAGUUCACUUAUCCAUACACACACACAUACAUAUCUAGCCCAUAUCUACUUGCCAAUAUAGGUGUACCUCUAUUCAAACUUAACUUCACACAAAUAUACGCUUACUUCCACAUGGAAUGGAUACAGUGGACACGAAAUGUUGUCAAGUUUUUAAAAUUAACCUAAAAAAAAUACACAAUUUUUAAGUAAA
rnacentral:sRNA from 1 species